UGGUGAAACUUCGGAGGGAUCAUUACUGAGUUUACGCUCUACAACCCUUUGUGAACAUACCUAUAACUGUUGCUUCGGCGGGCAGGGUCUCCGUGACCCUCCCGGCCUCCCGCCCCCGGGCGGGUCGGCGCCCGCCGGAGGAUAACCAAACUCUGAUUUAACGACGUUUCUUCUGAGUGGUACAAGCAAAUAAUCAAAACUUUUAACAACGGAUCUCUUGGUUCUGGCAUCGAUGAAGAACGCAGCGAAAUGCGAUAAGUAAUGUGAAUUGCAGAAUUCAGUGAAUCAUCGAAUCUUUGAACGCACAUUGCGCCCGCCAGCAUUCUGGCGGGCAUGCCUGUUCGAGCGUCAUUUCAACCCUCAAGCUCUGCUUGGUGUUGGGGCCCUACAGCCGAUGUAGGCCCUCAAAGGUAGUGGCGGACCCUCCCGGAGCCUCCUUUGCGUAGUAACUUUACGUCUCGCACUGGGAUCCGGAGGGACUCUUGCCGUAAAACCCCCAAUUCUCCAAAGGUUGACCUCGGAUCAGGUAGGAAUA
rnacentral:rRNA from 1 species